UCGCUAGGAUUAAUCAAAGAAUUUUGCUUUGUAGCCUAAUAUAAUUAAAAAAAAAUCACAAACUUUUAAGUCAUUAAAUCAAAUAGAAAUAUACAUUUGGUUGUUUCUUACCAAUUGUCAAAAUUAUACGUUAAAUAUCUUGCUUCAAAUGAUAAAAAACAUGCUGCAUAGUCUAGUUACAGCUUAACAGAUCCGAUGAGAAAGGAGCGACAUACAAUUAAUUGGUUCCAUUCCGUUUUCAACAGUAUUUCAGUCAGAUGGUUAAAGUGUUCGUAGAGACUGCACAUGGGAAAAUUGGUAUGUAAUAAGAACUGUUAAACAAUAUAAUCCGGACAUGUUCGAAGUAAGACGCAGUUCUAGCCUAUACGAUUUGAUGCGGAUUAUCCAUUACGUCAACAACUGUAACACCAGCAUUAACACGGUCAAUCUCUGGUAUAAGGGACUGCAGAAAACUAAUGUCGUCAACCGGCUAUUCUCCUAAUGUCUUUAAACAGUUUAGCUAUAGGAGCGGCGUGGCAUGGUCGGGAUCGGCAGCUAUUGGGGCACCUUGUGUUGAAAGGUAACUGCUGUACCUGGUUAAUUUUAUUAGAUCCGAUUUAUCUAGGUCCGUUGUAGCAUUACUUAACUGCCUGCAUGUAAAAGAAUAAGUUAUAAAAAUGCAUUGAUAUGGAAAACGAAAUAAUCAAGAAAUAUCGAAAAUAGGUGUAAAACAGAAUUGAAUCAAUUAUGAGAAUAAUGUUAAUAAUAAUAAUAAUAAUCAUAAUAACAAUAAUGAUAUGAAUAAUAAUUUCAAUAAUAUGAAUGCAAAGAAGACGUCACAUGAAACUGUCCAAGCAUAUUCUGUUUAUGACGUAACAAGUCAGUGGCAGUAAGACUCUUCUAAUUGAAAGUCUUAUGGCUAUUGGUUUCCUAUUCGUCCGCCUGUCCUUCCGUUCGUCUGACGUUCGUUCAAAAUAAAUAGAUAAUACAUUUCGACUGAAACCUCAGCAAAAGGUUUCAUGAUGACCCUAGCUUAUAGUAAUCGAACUAUUGGAUAAUAUGUACAUGUACCUGAAUGACAUUGUAACAUUUAAAGAUAUACAAUAUGUAAAAUAUUCAGCGAGUUUCAUAGAUUUUGAUACAUCUUAAAAAUUAAGGUACAUAGCAAAAGGUAAUUUCUAGCUCUAGACUUUUAACUGUUUGUCAAUGACCUGCUGUACCUAUUGAGUAAACGUGUAUUCACUGCAUACCUCGUUUUGGCGAAUUUUAUUUUCAUAAAAUGUUGAGUGGCCCUCAAUACACGUAAUGUGCAUUUCGGUAUGACAUAUUGUAAAUCUAUUAGUACUAAAAUCU